rnacentral:sRNA from 1 species
CAGAUGGUGCCCACAGAACUUGUAGAGAAGGAGUUCUGGAGGCUGGUAAAUAGCAUUGAGGAAGAUGUGACUGUUGAGUAUGGAGCUGACAUCCAUUCCAAAGAAUUUGGCAGCGGUUUCCCUGUCAGUGACAGUAAACGGCACCUAACCCCUGAAGAGGAGGAGUAUGCUACCAGUGGUUGGAACCUAAAUGUGAUGCCGGUGUUGGAACAGUCUGUACUGUGCCACAUCAAUGCAGAUAUCUCUGGCAUGAAGGUGCCCUGGCUCUACGUGGGCAUGGUCUUCUCAGCCUUUUGCUGGCAUAUUGAGGAUCACUGGAGUUACUCCAUUAACUACCUCCACUGGGGUGAGCCGAAGACCUGGUAUGGGGUGCCCUCACUUGCAGCAGAACAUUUGGAAGAAGUGAUGAAGAAGCUGACACCUGAACUAUUUGAUAGCCAGCCUGACCUCCUGCACCAACUUGUCACCCUCAUGAAUCCCAACACCCUCAUGUCCCAUGGUGUGCCAGGUAUCACAGAGGCUGAGCGAGAGGCUUUUGAGCUGCUCCCAGAUGAUGAGCGCCAGUGUAUCAAGUGCAAGACUACGUGUUUCCUGUCAGCCCUGGCGUGCUACGACUGCCCAGACGGCCUUGUCUGCCUUUCCCACAUCAAUGAUCUCUGCAAGUGCUCCAGUAGCCGGCAGUACCUGCGGUAUCGGUAUACCUUGGAUGAGCUUCCUGCCAUGCUGCAUAAGCUGAAGGUUCGGGCUGAGUCCUUUGACACCUGGGCCAACAAAGUGCGAGUGGCCCUGGAGGUGGAGGAUGGGCGGAAGCGCAGUGAGUGAUGGGGGGAUGGAGGGACUCCACAGGCAAGUUCUAUUCCCUUUCUUCUGUACUCUGACCCCCUUCCUCUGCCUCUAUUCAAUACUGCCUACCCCUUGCUGCCCUCAUUUUUCUUCCAGGCCUUGAAGAACUGAGGGCACUAGAGUCUGAAGCCCGUGAGCGGAGGUUUCCUAAUAGUGAGCUGCUGCAGCAACUAAAGAACUGCCUGAGUGAGGCAGAGGCUUGCGUGUCCCGAGCUCUGGGACUGGUCAGCGGCCAGGAAGCUGG